UAUUCACAGUGGCCUGUGUCCCUGGAAACUACACCUCCUUCUCCAGCAUGCUCUGGGUCUUCCCUACGUGGCUGCCUGAUUCUGUUGUUGGAUGAGAACAGGCAGGUGGACUUUCACCGCUUGGACAGCCACCCAUCAGCCCGACUACACUUGGGGUCAACUCAACCUUACCCCUGGAGAGGAACCACAGCUGCUCCUGGAACAGAUCCCCCUGGACCACAAGACGCCGACGGCCAGCGAGCAGGAAGGGCUAGGCUCUCAUGAGGCCAAGGUGGAUAGAAAAGUAUCCAGAACAAGUCCAGGAGACCAGCCCAGAAGACCCUAAUGGAUGCUGAGCAGGGUCUCAUCUACCAACAGUCACAUCUACCACAGAAAGACUCAAUGGUUUGUCUUGGUUUCCCUUAAGGUUGAUGCUGCCAUCUUGAAAACAGCUGGAGGAUGAGGCCAAUUUCCAAGGAUGACAAGGCAUAGAGAAGGAAAGAAACUGGGUCCUGGAGAACAAUACCAUCCAUGUUGCCAACCGGAUACACUCAAUG